GCGGAGGAAAAGAAACUAACAAGGAUUCCCCUAGUAACGGCGAGUGAAGAGGGAAGAGCCCAAGAUUGAAAGCUGGCGUCUUCGGCGUCCGCAUUGUAAUCUCAAGAAGUGUUUUCCGCUUCGGACCAUGCCUAAGUCCCUUGGAAAAGGGCAUCAUAGAGGGUGAUAAUCCCGUACAUGGCAUGGAGCGCCCGAAGCUUUGUGAUACGCUUUCUAAGAGUCGAGUUGUUUGGGAAUGCAGCUCAAAAUGGGUGGUAAAUGCCAUCUAAGGCUAAAUAUUGGGGAGAGACCGAUAGCGAACAAGUACAGUGAUGGAAAGAUGAAAAGAACUUUGAAAAGAGAGUUAAACAGUACGUGAAAUUGCCAAAAGGGAAGGGUAGGAGGUCAGAGAUGCGUUCUGGGAUUCAGCCUUGCUUUUGCUUGGUGUUUUUCCCAAAUUGCAGGCCAACGUCGGUUUUGGGCGCUGGAGAAGGGUGGAAGGAACGUGGCACCCCUCGGGGUGUGUUAUAGCCUUCUACUGGAUACAGUGACCGAGACCGAGGACAGCAGCGUACUCGCAAGAGCGGGCCUUCGGGCACCUUUACGCUUAGGGCGUUGGC
rnacentral:rRNA from 1 species